rnacentral:lncRNA from 1 species
GGGGAACUCUACCAGUAAGCUACAUUCCCAGACCCUUUUAUUUAUUUAUUUUUUUUUAAUUUUGAGAGAAGGUCUUGCUAAUUGCUGAGUGUGGUCUGGAACUUGCGAUCCUCCUGCAUCAAUCUCCCAAGUUGUGGGGAUCAUAGGUGUAUGCCACCACACCUGUCCUCCAACUACUUCUAGUAACAGAGUUAUCAAUGCCAAUUGAUUGUCAGGAAACUCAAUUCUAGAAUCCCAUCCUUUGACUUUCACUUCCUCCCAAUUCCAAGUGUCUUUGAUUUGGUUUUUAGAAAUCCUUAGGACAGGGAUUUGGGUGCUUGCAAUUUAUGGACAGAGUGCUUUUUAUGAAAAAUCUGUAAAAUUUUAAUGGAAGUAGAAUAGGGAAAGAUGCUAAGUAAUAAUAUGAUCCAUGGUAAAGUCUAGCUUUGUCUGGAUUCAUUGGCACGGGAAGGAGGCGUCUAGAAUUACAUUGCAUUGCAGUUUGUCCCACCUUAGAGCAAAGAAGCUGGACUCUUAUAUCCCCAUAUUAGACACUGGUGGCCCCAGUGAGGAGGUGUAUGUAACUUCCCAAACAUCUCUGGGCAUGUACAGUGGUAGUAUAAGGACUAAUACAAAUUAAGAAUAAGAGACUUAAUUCUUUCCAUCUCCCCCUUUUUAGUGGACUUUAGAAAACUUUCAAGUACUUUCUUCUCUCUGUCAAAUGUAUAUAAAUCCUUUUGAAGAGUACAUAUGGGAGGGUAGGAGAACAACUUUGGUGGAAACCUUGUUCUAAGUUGUAAAAAUACCUCUUGUCAUAAAGAUAUGAGACAUUUAUUUUUUUCCUCUGGAUAAAGUCAAUUAGCUAACACAUCAGAUGGUCACCCCAAUUAUCAGGUCAAGUUAGCAUUGAACUAUGUGCAACAAAUGGUGCUGUCAAAUCCUGUUACUUGAGGACUAGUUAUUGAUCAUCCUGAGAACAUGCAUGUAAUGGGUUGUAUCUGCUUGAUUAUAGUAGGAGGUGAUGUUUCUUUCUUUUUUUCAGGUUUAUAAGUUAUUUAUUCAUUCAAGAGUACAAUAAUGUAACAGUGAAAAAGAAAAAGACCAUACUCUGAGUGUACAAUCUAGCAAUUUUUCCCCCCCUGAGGUCUUUUAUUUUUCACAUCUUCAUACAUGUAUUUUGGAUAAUGAUGAGAGUCUCUCUUAAACUUUUAAAUACUUUCUCCUCUCUGUCAAAUGUAUAUAAAUCCUUUUGAAGAGUACAUAUGGGAGGGUAGGAGAACAACUUUGGUGGAAAACUUGCUCCAAGUUGUAAAAAUACCUCUUGCAUAAAGAUAUGAGAAGUUUAUUUUUUUCCUCUGGAUAAAGUGGAUUAGCUAAAUUAGCUAAAUACCAUGAUACAUGGUAAAGUCUAGCUUUGGCUGGAUUCAUUGGCACUUUCCAUCCCACCCCUAUUCCCUAUCUAGAGGGUAAUCUUUGUUCCUUGCUCUCCCUCCCAACCCCAUUUUGAGUCACCUCCCUUAUAUCAGAGAAGACAUUUGGCAUUUGUUUUUUUUUGGGGGGGGAUUGGCUAACUUCACUUAGCAUAAUCUGCUCUAAUGCCAUCCAUUUCCCUGCAAAUGCCAUGAUCUUAUUAUUUUUUAUUGCUGAGUAAUAUUCCAUUGUGUAUAAAUGCCACAUUUUUUUUAUCCAUUCAUCCACUGAAGGACAUCUAUGUUAGCUCCACAGUUUAGCUAUUGUGAAUUGGAGGUGAUGUUCCUUUCUGUCUUUGAAAUCUCUUAGCUGAUUGCCUGGGACAUGCAUUACCUUCUGGCUUAAUGCUUAUUCAAUAAUAAAACUAUUUUCUUGCUUUACUACCAUUGUGAAGAGAAUUCGGGGGUUAAAAAUAUUUUUUGUUUUCACAUCUCUCCCUCAAUUGUGUGAUAAGGACAAGGAAGAAUCUGGUAGUUCCCAAUUUGAACCGACAACUUAAGGUGUAUGGCCACAGAACAAUGAGGUAAAGAGACCCUGAGUUAUAAAAUCUCCCUUCCAGUUCUCCCUUUUUUUUGAAUACUAGCUAGAAAAAUCCACCCUCUCCAAAUUAAAUUAUUAUAUUAUUAAAUAAGCAUGGGUAAUAUGGACUCUAAAAUUCCUUCAGCAUCAAUGUAUGGUUAGAUAAUAUGGGAAGCAGGAGUGUUUUCUACAGGUCUUUCAUAUAAAUGGUUAUUCUCUCUCUACUGCAUGAUAAUACAGUCCUGUACUGGCCAAAGGAGAGGUUUGUUUUUUGUUUGUUUGUUUGUUUGUUUUUGUUUUUGUUUUUUUGGUGCUGAGGAAUGGAGGCAGGGCCUUACACAUGUGAGGCAAGCACUCUACCAUCUAAGCUAUAUCCCCAGCUCUAGGACAGUUAUUUUGUUUUGGAUAAAUGAAGACAUCAGUGGAGUUUCUUGUAUGUCUCUAAUCCUAGUGAAUGAAUUUC